AAUAGAUUGCUUGGACUGUCGAGUAAGCAGUCUGGCUGGCGGUUGCAUUGCUGCGGCUGGAAUGGGGGGCUUGGCCCCGGCCCAAUAGUGGUUAGAAUGGCUCAGCGUAGAGUGUAACUAACUACCAAGUUUAACGUUUGGUAGGUGAUUCAACGUCGCCUUCUACGGGGCCGCAGUGCCCAGUGAGGCCGUGCUAAUUCUUUUCAGUACGGUAGCUUGGCUAACUAAUUCAACUGAAUGACCUGCUUCUUGCAUGAUAUUGCUGUGCAACAGCAAUUCUGAGUAAGAACUGGACGACAAUGAAGGGGUGUUAUUACCCCCUCCCUCCUCUCUGGCGCGCCGGGUCUGCAGUGGAGCUGUUAAUGGAGGAUUCCGGAAGCAGCAUCUAACUUGAGCAAUGGGACUCUCCCUGGGUGGCAACAUCGGAGCCCCGUUGUCUUCUGCAAUGGAGGAGAGCAGCGAUGAAAACUUAACAUUCCUUUCACCUGAUGUUGGAUAGAUAUGUUAUUUUUUUUUUUAAGAUCAUGAAAAAAACACCUACAGGGGAGUGUUUACCCCCAUCUUGUAACUUUUUAAUUUCCUUAGGCGUUUUUUGUGUGUCUUUGUUUUCUUGUUUGUUUGUUUUUGGCUGACGGAUGGUAUGAGGUCAAGCUUUACCAUGAGCCUGGGACGUGGUUCCCAUCUCUGUCGGGUUUUUAUUUCAUUAAUUUGAUAGGAAUACUUGGGACUCUAAGCCUUGAUGAUAUUUUAACCUUCUUGGGGGUGGGGGGGUGGGGGGGGAGACGCCAAAAAAAGACACAAAGCAACCUGAGGCAGAGCUGAGGAGAAGGCUGGAGCUGACCUAUAAGCCCAUGCGUCUGUGUUUACAAGCCCCACAGGGUGCCCAGUGUGGCCGACAGCGCUUGCAGCAGCAUGUCUUCCACUUGUCCACUCAAUACACUUUGCACUGCUUGUUUCAUUCGCCACAUCCACCGUACAUAUUGUUCUGUUCGUAACCCCAGGAACUAUCAGCAUUUGUCCAACACCUAAUUUUAAGGCGUAUUCAAGCCCAACAGAUCUUGUAUUUGUUAAUUCAUCCCCCUGGUUUAUAUGCUUGUUCACAAAAAACUUUGAUUAGGGUCACAAAAGGGUCUGCGUUAAUUGUGUAAGUUGUAUGCCAGUCAAAAACAUGUGCACCUGUUUAUGAAAGAGAUGGCAAAAACCUCACAAAUCCUACAGAGAACAAAACACUCUACAGUCUACAGGCACACAUUCCAUGUGUGCCGACAACCAGCUUUUCUGAGUCGUACACUAAAGGUAUAUGUUUAACCUCAUAGGGACACUACAGACGAUUUGAUGUCACUAUUCACACUCUUAACAGUUAUUUACUGAGGCUAAGAGUCCCUGCUUAUCAUGUAUUUUACUAAGUGCUUUCGGAGAUCAUUGUGUGUUCAUUUUGUUUUGUUAUUAGAAUUGCUUUUUAUUUUUAUUUUAUGUUAUUUUAUUUUUUAUUUGGUUAUGUUUCGCUUUGCUAGUAUAAAAAAAGAUAUCUAUAAUCAUGUGCGUUGUGAUAUAGAGGUAGCUGUAGAAAUGCAUUGUUUCCUUGUGGUAAGUGAUUGAGAUGCUGCCACGGAUUUGAGACACUGAUGAAUGGUGCUAUUUUGGACUUUAAUCUGCUCCUUGGUAAGGUAGCUCUGAUGGGUUUCGUUUUAUAUUUUCAUGUUCUGAGAAGGUGUUGGUUCUUCGUGGUCUGGUUGUUGUAACUUGGUCUGGAUUGACUGGUUUUGUUUUGGGUUUUUUUCUGUCGUUUUUUUCUGUGCGGCUUUCUCAUUGGAUUAAUGGGUGAAACAAACAAACAAACAAAAAAAAAUAGGCAGAGGUGAUAUAUUUUCAGAAGGUGGAGAUCCAAUCACUUGUGGAAGGUGGGAGCGAUCACAAAACUGCAAUCCUUUAAAAGAGCUGUUUUGCCCCUCAGCACAGAUUAGACUUGGAUAUGAUAGUUAUAGGCUAGUUCCCAGCACAGGUCACUUUUAGGAAAUGUAAUUCUCCCUUUUAUGUGCCACAUGGAGAGUCACAUAAACUAUAUUAAGAAAAGUAUAUUUUGUGGCGCAGUACUGUCUUGAGUACAUCACCCUGAGAUUUGCACAUUGCAUAUUAAGACUGCUUCCAUUAAUCAAUUAAUCAGUCAGUCAGUUAAAGGAAACUCAACACAGCUUUAGAUGAGCUUUUUGCUUCUACCAUUGCUUUGCAUAGUUUAGAGGCUAUAAUGUUAUGGGGCUGAGGGAGGGUACAAAAUGGUGGACCAUUUUACCCACAGUCCCUUUGAAAAAUCCAUGCACCUUUGUCAGACGACACUCGUUUGGGGUUCAGGGUGUUAGUUGCUGCAUCUUAACCAGCAGGCGAUGGAUGACCUGUAUCUGAGAAGUCAACUGGUCAGACAGUCAAACUGAAAUUGUGAUGCACAUAAUUUUUUUUAGAAAUGCAUUUUUCCAAAUAUGUAGCAUAAAGAAGCUGAACAAUCUUCAUAAUGACUUACCUAUUUUGUAAAGUAAUGUUAAAAUAAAUUUCUUUGAUAAAAUAUGAACCAAAAAGCUUUCUAUGAAUUAUUUUGGCUAGUGAGGUUAACAGAGUAUUGUUAUUCAGUAUUUGCAGUUUUGUCUUUGCUUCCUGGCUAUUCAUACUUUUAACUGUCUCAAUAUGAAGACCAACUUGAAAGCCCACGUUAGUUUCUUUGUCUUCCAGUAUUAUAUUAGAAUGGGGGGCCCUCCUAGCUUACUGUAGUCUUUCCUUGACUUUAAUAUUCUGUCCACUUGCAUGUUCUGUGCUGUUUUGUUUUUUUCUUCAGUACUUUUUCAAAUAUUCUUCCUCAUAGACUAGGUAUGCCAGCUGUCUUGUAUAUAGCAAGUGACUAGUAUAGGCAGGGUCUGCAACAGUAUGAGAUAUUCUGUAUUAUUGAAUGUGUACGAUUGGUUUAAAAACCUAAUGGAAAAAAGAACACACAAAGCCAGCUUAUAGUUACAAUAUCUUAAUAAUGAAGCACUGAUAGUAUUCCAUGUAUUUUUUGCGAAUUUAGCUGUAGUUAAAUAAAUUUGCAAGCUUUGAAAAAUCA